UUGAGUAAGUCGGGUGUGAAAACUCUGGGCUUAACCCGGAGACGCCAUCCGAUACUGCUCUGACUAGAGUUCAGGAGGGGAGUGGGGAAUUCCUAGUGUAGCGGUGAAAUGCGCAGAUAUUAGGAGGAACACCGGUGGCGAAGGCGCCACUCUGGACUGAAACUGACGCUGAGGAGCGAAAGCAUGGGUAGCAAACAGGAUUAGAUACCCUGGUAGUCCAUGCCGUAAACGGUGGGCACUAGGUGUGGGUUCCAACUAACGGGAUCCGCGCCGUCGCUAACGCAUUAAGUGCCCCGCCUGGGGAGUACGGUCGCAAGACUAAAACUCGAAGGAAUUGACGGGGGCCCGCACAAGCAGCGGAGCGUGUUGCUUAAUGCGAUGCUACGCGAAGAACCUUACCUGGGUAUGACAUGUUUGGAAAAGCCAUCAGAGAUGUGGUGUCCGCAAGGGCCAAUCACAGGUGGUGCAUGGCUGUCGUCAGCUCGUGUCGUGAGAUGUUGGGUUAAGUCCCGCAACGAGCGCAACCCUUAUUCUAUGUUGCCAGCAAGUAAUGUUGGGGACUCAUGGAAGAUCCGCCGGGGUCAACUCGGAGGAAGGUGGGGAUGACGUCAAGUCCUCAUGCCCCUUAUGUCCAGGGCUGCAAACACGCUACAAUGGCCGAUACAAAGGGUCGCUUGCCCGCGAGGGUUGGCCAAUCCCAUAAAGUCGGUCUCAGUUCGGAUUGAAGUCUGCAACUCGACUUCAUGAAGCUGGAGUUGCUAGUAAU
rnacentral:rRNA from 1 species